rnacentral:rRNA from 1 species
UACCAGCACCCCGAGUGGUCGGGACGAUUAUUGGGCCUAAAGCAUCCGUAGCCUGUCAUGCAAGUCCUCCGUUAAAUCCACCUGCUUAACAGAUGGGCUGCGGAGGAUACUACAAGGCUAGGAGGCGGAAGAGGCAAGCGGUACUCAGUGGGUAGGGGUAAAAUCCUCUGAUCCAUUGAAGACCACCAGUGGCGAAGGCGGCUUGCCAAUACGCGCUCGACGGUGAGGGAUGAAAGCUGGGGGAGCAAACCGG